GGAUAUGUGAGCAAAAUAUAAAGUAUAAUAUGUUAGACAAAAAAAAUUAUUUUUGAAAAUUGAAAACAACAUUCUGUUUUCUAAUUUUUUAUUUUUAAAAAUCUGUUUAUAAAAAUUUUUGCUAAAUGUCUCUUAUUAGUUUUUGAAAACUAUUUUCAAUUUUGCAAAACAGAAAACAGUUUUUAAAUUGUAGAGCCUCAGUGGCUUGGUAUAGUCACGAUGACUUCAUUAAAGUGAGUACAUUUUUUACGGGUUGCUAAAAUUUUGUGAUAAAUAAUGAACAAUCAGGUGGUGCUGUGGUGCAAGUUUGAACCACAUUUAUGAAAUUUAAAAUGGCACCCCGUGGAGGAUAUUUCGGUGGGGUCUCAGCUUAAGGUUACUGCUGUCAUGAGAAGCUUCUUUGCUACUGCUUGGUUUCUACAGCUCCUAACAUGGCGGAAACUACAACUCCUCAACUCAACUUACAAAACACCUAGUUUCGAGAAAGACUAAAACAUCAUUUUCCUUGUUAUAUGGACCCCACCCCAAAUUUGCAAUCUAUUUGCUGAUUUGCAGUAGAAGAGUUUCCCAGGCCAGACAGAUUCUUUCACUAGUUUUCGAUAAGGGUUUCCAAGGCUAUGAUGAAUGCUUCGAAUGAUAGAUUUAUUCAUAACAUUGUUUUCAAACAUGUGUUGGAGUUGAAUUGCUUUGUGGUGCUCGUUUGAGACCCUAUUAUGUGUUGUUACGAUUUAUGUGGAAAAGCUUACGAGUCCUCUUUCAGGCUGUGCGGGGAGACUUGAUGAGGCCAUUACUGUUGCUGAGAGCAUGGAAGUUGAGAAACAUGAAGACACAUAUGGGUUGCUUUCCUUGGGCAUUUAGAAUCCAUGGACAUAAGACCUGGCAGAAAAGGCAACAAAUUCACUUCUUAGUCUAUAGCCCCACAAUGCAGGACAUUCGAAAGAUAUAAUUUACGAAUCUCAAGAGUCAGAUUAGGCUAAAGAAAGUUCUUGGUUGGCCAUAGAUUGAGGUGGAUAACAAUAUUCACAAAACUCAACUGUGGAGAUGAGACUCAUCCUUUUCCAAGGAGAGUUAUGAAAUGCUCAAAAACUUGAAUGAGAUGCUGAAACUGGCAGGCUGUGUUCUUGGUACAAAUUUCAUUUGCAAGAUGUUGCUGAAGAAUUAGUUAAGGUGGGAUAUGCUGCAUUCACAUAAUAAUGAAUAGUUAGGUAUUGCAUUUGGCCUAA